rnacentral:rRNA from 1 species
UACGUAGGGGGCUAGCGUUGUCCGGAAUCAUUGGGCGUAAAGAGCGCGUAGGCGGCCAGAUAAGUCCGGUGUGAAAGUCAAAGGCUCAACCUUUGAAUGCCGCUGGAAACUGUCUGGCUAGAGUCCGGGAGGGGCGAGUGGAAUUCCUGGUGUAGCGGUGAAAUGCGCAGAUAUCAGGAGGAACACCGGUGGCGAAGGCGGGUCUCUGGGCAACAACUGACGCUGAGGCGCGAAAGCCAGGGGAGCAAACGGG